rnacentral:rRNA from 1 species
CUCAACCUGAACUCAGUCGUGAUUACCCGCUGAACUUAAGCAUAUCAUUUAGCGGAGGAAAAGAAACUAAAAAGGAUUCCCUUAGUAACGGCGAGUGAAACGGGAAGAGCCCAGCGCCGAAUCGUUCAGUCUUUGGCUGCUUCGAAAUGUGGCGUAUAGGUGUAGUCUUCUAGCAGUAUCGUAUGUCCGAAGUCCUUACGAUUGAGGCCAUAAACCAGAGAGGGUGCGAGCCCCGUUCUGGAUAGCGAUGCUGUUGGUUUGGCUGCUCCUUGGAGUCGGGUUGCUUGAAAGUGCAGCCUAAAG